GGACUGCUCGCCGACCUGGCCGACGGCACCGCUGAUGACGUCGUCGACCACGGCCGGGUCGAUGCCGGUGCGGUCCAC
rnacentral:tRNA from 1 species